ACGCAGUGCCAGCAGUCGAUCGGUUAGGGAGUACGGCGGAAGGUCGCGGUGCGUCGCAGCGCAUUUCAACUCACAUUCUCGUCAUCCCGUUGAUCCCGUACGAGUGUGUGAUGCGAGCGAGUGUUUCGAGAGUGUCGUGGACUGCCGAAAGUGAAGUGUCGACGUUCGUACAGGCAUCCAUCGCGUCGAAUGCAUGGUGCGAAGUCGUGCCGCAUUCAAUCGUGUUUCGCAGCUUCUCCGUUGCCUCUUUUUUCAAGUCUUCGACACGCAUGAGCACCGGAAGGGUUUCGAGAGUUCCAAAAACGAAGGCUCGAGCGUUCGUGGCAAGUAUGAAUCAAGACGAAUCGUCGUGAGGAGAAUCUUGGAUUCUUCGUGUCACUCAGACGACAAUGGACGAUAAAUCGGGACGGCGCGAAGUCGCGUCGCGCGUUUAAUCGCGUCUUCUCCGUUGCCUCGUAUCCCGUAUCUCGAGUUUUCAACGGGCAUGAGUACCGGGGGUGCCGAAAACGAACCAAGUGUCGUGCGUUUGUGCCAAGUACAAAUCGAGAGGAGGAGGAUCUUAGAUCUUCGAAAGCGGCGGCUAAGACUACGAGACGGAGCUGGACGGAGCGACAAGAGGCGAACGAUAUUCCUCGAGAUGGAAAACAACGAGAAGGGGAUAACACCCAUCGUCGCCGACUUGUAAUAAAAUAAACGAAUCGCAGCCGGUUCGUCGCGUCGCGCGUUUAUUCCGGGAGUGCCGUUAAAUGCUUAUUGGACUAAAUAGACUUUUUCCGUAACUCCCAUUUGAUAGACUCCCAGUUAGAGGGCUGGGAAUCGCACCCCCGCUGCUUGGCAGUGGACAUCUCCUCACUGAGGCGUUGCCGCGACGUCUUACGCCGAGUGCUCUAAGGCUUUCUUCUCUAGAUCCUUGAUACCCUUUUUGGAUUCUUUGGAUCUGGAGUUCGAGCCAGUGAAUCACGUUUAAUCUGACUAUAGGGCAGAACGUGUUAGUCUUGGCAGUUCAACGUGUUGAGAGACUGGUUCUCAUUUUCUGAUUCGUCUGUAGAAUGUUAGACGUCGGCAAUGAAGAUCUUCUUUUUCGUCACGUCUAAAUGUCGUCGACAUCGCUCGUCGUAUAGACGUCUCGGUAGAUUAGCUAUAUCACGAGUGGUGUCACCUGGCCGCCGCUGGCUUGGCGUAUGACUGAGUCAAUUUUAGACGUGAUUUUUGCGAGACGAGAGACGUCGGAUUCAAUGAUUUGAUUUUUCUCCGCGUAGGGCUUACCCUUGUCCGAAGCGAGUACGCGUGCGUUCUACUCAUCGCCGACUUGGGGCGUUGAUCCACGGGAAUCUCUUUAAAUGGAAACUCAUAUCAUGGGUUUUAUAAACCUGAAGUGCCGCAAUAUCGCGCGAAAAACUUUAUAAGCGGUUAGUCCACGCGCGCAAAUUUAGUGUAUUAUUCGCGAGUGUUCCGCGUGUGCAACGAGAGGAAAAGGACAACCUAAAGGACCCUGAGAGGAGGAGGAGGCCUGGGAGAGGCCCCAGCGGAGCAACCUUGGGUAUCAUCGUAGCUUCGUGGCUGAGUAACUCCGCUCGUUGCGCAUGGAUCGGUGAGUGAUAAAUAAUAUUUUCUAAUAGAAUAACGAAUCUAUGAAAUUUAUUUUACAAUAUAUUCUAUAUUAUACCAAUAAAAGUGUAGUACCUAGAGAUAAAUGUGACUUUUCACAGAUUUGUUGUUCUAAAAUUAUAGAUAGACUAGAUCAGGCUAGGCUGAAUAAUUAUCCUUAUGAAAAAUACACCAACUCCAAAAUGACAUUCAAAUGAGUGAUAACUCAAAAAUAAAUCAUUGGAUAUACAUAUGUAUUUCCAUCUAAUUCUCUACACUUCAUAUUUAUUUAAUAUUUUUAUAACACUCUAUGUUCAAUAAGUACAUUUCAUGUAAAAAAUAAU